UAAUACGUAGGGUGCGAGCGUUAAUCGGAAUUACUGGGCGUAAAGCGUGCGCAGGCGGUCUCGUAAGACAGGUGUGAAAUCCCCGGGCUUAACCUGGGAACUGCGCUUGUGACUGCGAGGCUGGAGUGCGGAAGAGGGAGGUGGAAUUCCACGUGUAGCAGUGAAAUGCGUAGAGAUGUGGAGGAACACCGAUGGCGAAGGCAGCCUCCUGGUCCAGCACUGACGCUCAUGCACGAAAGCGUGGGGAGCAAACAGGAUUAGAUACCCUGGUAGUCCACGCCCUAAACGAUGACGACUAGUUGUUGGGGUAGAAGUACCUUAGUAACGCAGCUAACGCGUGAAGUCGUCCGCCUGGGGAGUACGGUCGCAAGAUUA
rnacentral:rRNA from 1 species